AAUGCCUAGGAAUCUGCCUGGUAGUGGGGGACAACGUUUCGAAAGGAACGCUAAUACCGCAUACGUCCUACGGGAGAAAGCAGGGGACCUUCGGGCCUUGCGCUAUCAGAUGAGCCUAGGUCGGAUUAGCUAGUUGGUGAGGUAAUGGCUCACCAAGGCGACGAUCCGUAACUGGUCUGAGAGGAUGAUCAGUCACACUGGAACUGAGACACGGUCCAGACUCCUACGGGAGGCAGCAGUGGGGAAUAUUGGACAAUGGGCGAAAGCCUGAUCCAGCCAUGCCGCGUGUGUGAAGAAGGUCUUCGGAUUGUAAAGCACUUUAAGUUGGGAGGAAGGGUACUUACCUAAUACGUGAGUAUUUUGACGUUACCGACAGAAUAAGCACCGGCUAACUCUGUGCCAGCAGCCGCGGUAAUACAGAGGGUGCAAGCGUUAAUCGGAAUUACUGGGCGUAAAGCGCGCGUAGGUGGUUCGUUAAGUUGGAUGUGAAAUCCCCGGGCUCAACCUGGGAACUGCAUCCAAAACUGGCGAGCUAGAGUAGGGCAGAGGGUGGUGGAAUUUCCUGUGUAGCGGUGAAAUGCGUAGAUAUAGGAAGG
rnacentral:rRNA from 1 species